rnacentral:rRNA from 1 species
UACGUAGGGGCCUAGCGUUGUCCGGAUUUAUUGGGCGUAAAGAGCUCGUAGGCGGUUCGGUAAGUCAGGUGUGAAAUCUCCACGCUCAACGUGGAGGCGCCACCUGAAACUGCCGUGACUAGAGUCCGGUAGGGGAGUGUGGAAUUCCCGGUGUAGCGGUGAAAUGCGUAGAUAUCGAGAGGAACACCUGCGGCGAAGGCGGGUAGCUGGGCCGACACUGACGCUGAUGCGCGAAAGCGUGGGGAGCAAACAGG